AGCGUUCUUUGAAGUGCUCACACAGAUUGUCUGAUAGAAAGUGAAAAGCAAGGCGUCUUGCGAAGCAGACUGAUACGUCCCCUUCGUCUAGAGGCCCAGGACACCGCCCUUUCACGGCGGUAACAGGGGUUCGAAUCCCCUAGGGGACGCCACUUGCUGGUUUGUGAGUGAAAGUCACCUGCCUUAAUAUCUCAAAACUCAUCUUCGGGUGAUGUUUGAGAUAUUUGCUCUUUAAAAAUCUGGAUCAAGCUGAAAAUUGAAACACUGAACAACGAAAGUUGUUCGUGAGUCUCUCAAAUUUUCGCAACACGAUGAUGAAUCGAAAGAAACAUCUUCGGGUNCAUCCACAGAACUUUCCAGAGAUGGAUUGGUGCCUUCGGGAACUGUGAGACAGGUGCUGCAUGGCUGUCGUCAGCUCGUGUUGUGAAAUGUUGGGUUAAGUCCCGCAACGAGCGCAACCCUUAUCCUUUGUUGCCAGCGGUCCGGCCGGGAACUCAAAGGAGACUGCCAGUGAUAAACUGGAGGAAGGUGGGGAUGACGUCAAGUCAUCAUGGCCCUUACGACCAGGGCUACACACGUGCUACAAUGGCGCAUACAAAGAGAAGCGACCUCGCGAGAGCAAGCGGACCUCAUAAAGUGCGUCGUAGUCCGGAUUGGAGUCUGCAACUCGACUCCAUGAAGUCGGAAUCGCUAGUAAUCGUGGAUCAGAAUGCCACGGUGAAUACGUUCCCGGGCCUUGUACACACCGCCCGUCACACCAUGGGAGUGGGUUGCAAAAGAAGUAGGUAGCUUAACCUUCGGGAGGGCGCUUACCACUUUGUGAUUCAUGACUGGGGUGAAGUCGUAACAAGGUAACCGUAGGGGAACCUGCGGUUG
rnacentral:rRNA from 1 species